UAGCUCAGUUGGUAGAGCAUGGUGUUUGCAAUGCCAGGGUUGUGGGUUCGUUUCCCAC
rfam:Salmo salar isolate Sally breed double haploid chromosome ssa07, whole genome shotgun sequence.